CCUCUGAGGGAACCAUAAAGAGUCCAAGUCCAACUCCCUCUGAGGAAAACAUAAAAAAACGAUUCCAACCGCCUCUGGGGGAACUAUAAAGUGUCCAAGUCCAACUCCCUCUGGGGGAACCACAAAGAAGCCAAGGCCAACUCCCUCUGGGGGAACCAUAAAGAGUCCAAGUCCAACUCCCUCUGGGGAACCAUAAAGAGUCCAAGUCCAACUCCCUCUGAGGAAAACAUACAGAGUCAGAGUCCAACUGCCUCUGGGGGAACCAUAAGAGACCGAUUGCAACUGCCUUUGGGGCACCAUAAAGAGACCGAUUCCAACUGCUUUUACGGGAACCAUAAAAAGACCAAUUGCAAAUGCCUUUGGGGGAACCAUAAAGAGACCGAUUCCACCUGCCUUUACGGGAACCAUAAAGAGACCGAUUGCAACUGCCUCUGGGAGAACCAUAAACAUCAUGACUUCAAUUUAUACUCUGUUCCCUGACACAGACUUUGACUCAAAACUGCUCCCUGGAGGGUUGCCUAAUUUUCUAAGCAACUGCUACAUUAAUGCAAGUCUGCAGUGUCUGUUUACCGCCGAGAGUUCUGCAGAGAGCUCUCCGACCUGCUGGACAAUUCUACACACACACUGGAGUACUCAUUCCUCAGAUGUUUUGUGGAGUUAUGGAGGUUGAGAAACAGCUCUGAAGUUCAAGGUGACCGCAAGAAGGGUUUGCUCCUCCAGGCCCUGAUGAAAUCAGCUGCACACUACAACCCAGAAUUCACCAUCGACAUCCAGAAUGAUGCCCAUGAAUUCCUCUGCUACUGUCUGACCCCAAAUGGAGGAGUCUGGGCGAAAACUGGGUUGGCAAGAGGAUGUGAACCCUAGAUGUCCAGUCACGUCCAAUUUCAAGUUCAAGAUGAGGAACAUUAUAACCUGCUCCAGCUGUGGAUCCCACAGAACAACAACGUGGAAGUGUUUAAUCACGUCUCUGUGCCCCUGAAGCACGACUCAGUGGACCGGUGCCUCUCUGACGUAGUUCAUAAGCGGACAUUGUUAGAGAGCAAGUGCAAGGUGUGUGGAGGAGACUCUGCCAGCUCCAGGUGGAUGUUCCACACUCUGCCCAGG
ensembl:lncRNA